UAAGGAAUAUUGGUCAAUGGACGCAAGUCUGAACCAGCCAUGCCGCGUGAAGGAUGAAGGUCCUCUGGAUUGUAAACUUCUUUUAUAGGGGGCGAAAAAAGGGAAAUCUUUCUCACUUGACAGUACCCUAUGAAUAAGCACCGGCUAACUCCGUGCCAGCAGCCGCGGUAAUACGGAGGGUGCAAGCGUUAUCCGGAUUCACUGGGUUUAAAGGGUGCGUAGGCGGGCGUAUAAGUCAGUGGUGAAAUCCUGGAGCUUAACUCCAGAACUGCCAUUGAUACUAUAUGUCUUGAAUAUGGUGGAGGUAAGCGGAAUAUGUCAUGUAGCGGUGAAAUGCAUAGAUAUGACAUAGAACACCUAUUGCGAAGGCAGCUUACUACGCCUAUAUUGACGCUGAGGCACGAAAGCGUGGGGAUCAAACAGGAUUAGAUACCCUGGUAGUCCACGCCCUAAACGAUGAUUACUCGACGUGUGCGAUAAACGGUACGCGUCUGAGCGAAAGCAUUAAGUAAUCCACCUGGGGAAGUACGACCGCAAGGUUUGAAACUUAAAGGAAUUGACGGGGUCAUAGCUGUUUCCUG
rnacentral:rRNA from 1 species